rnacentral:rRNA from 1 species
GUUAUAUGGUCAAGUGAUUAAGCGCACACGGUGGAUGCCUUGGCGAUAGGAGGCGAUGAAGGACGUGGUAGCCUGCGAUAAGCCUCGGGGAGGCGGCAAACUUCCUUUGAUCCGAGGAUUUCCGAAUGGGGAAACCCAGCUGCUUUUAGCAGUUAUCUUGCACUGAAUUCAUAGGUGCCUGAAGCGAACCCGGGGAACUGAAACAUCUAAGUACCCGGAGGAAUAGAAAUCAACCGAGAUUCCCCUAGUAGCGGCGAGCGAAAGGGGAGCAGCCCAGUCAUCAUAAUUCUGCGGAUCCUAGUGGAGCGGUCUGGAAAGUCCGGCCAUAGAAGGUGAUAGCCCUGUACACGACAGGUGAAGCAGAUGGAUGACGAAGAGUAGGACGGGGCACGAGUAACCCUGUCUGAACAUGGGGGGACCAUCCUCCAAGGCUAAAUACUACCUAUCGACCGAUAGUGAACCAGUACCGUGAGGGAAAGGCGAAAAGAACCCCAGUGAGGGGAGUGAAAUAGAACCUGAAACCGUGUGCGUACAAGCAGUGGGAGCCCCUUUCGGGGGGUGACUGCGUACCUUUUGUAUAAUGGGUCAGCGAGUUACUUUCGGCGGCGAGCUUAACCGUCUAGGGAAGGCAUAGGGAAACCGAGUCUGAAUAGGGCGCUAAGUCGUCGGGAGUAGACCCGAAGCCAGUCGAGCUAGCCAUGGACAGGGUGAAGGUAGGGUAAUGCCUGCUGGAGGCCCGAACCGGUAACUGUUGAAAAAGUUUCGGAUGAGCUGUGGUUAGGAGUGAAAGGCUAAUCAAGACUGGAGAUAGCUGGUUCUCCUCGAAAGCUAUUGAGGUAGCGCCUCGUGUAUCACUCUUGGGGGUAGAGCACUGUUUCGGCUAGGGGGACAUCCCGUCUUACCAAACCGAUGCAAACUCCGAAUACCAGGAAGUGCGAGCACGGGAGACACACGGCGGGUGCUAACGUCCGUCGUGAAGAGGGAAACAACCCAGACCGCCAGCUAAGGUCCCCAAAUCACAGCUAAGUGGAAAACGAUGUGGAAAGGCAUAGACAGCCAGGAGGUUGGCUUAGAAGCAGCCAUCCUUUAAAGAAAGCGUAACAGCUCACUGGUCUAGUCGGUCUGCGCGGAAAAUUUAACGGGGCUCAAGCUGUGUACCGAAGCUGCGGAUGCAUACUUUCUUCGGAAGGUGUGCGUGGUAGAGGAGCGUUCUGUAAGCCUGUGAAGGUGUGUCGUGAGGCAUGCUGGAGGUAUCAGAAGUGCGAAUGCUGACAUGAGUAACGAUAAUGCGGGUGAAAAACCCGCACGCCGUAAACCCAAGGUUUCCUGCGCAACGCUAAUCGGCGCAGGGUGAGUCGGUUCCUAAGGCGAGACCGAAAGGUGUAGUCGAUGGCAAGCGGGUUAAUAUUCCUGCACCAUGAACUGCUGCGAUGGGAGGACGGAGAAGGCUAGGCUUACCGGGUGUUGGAUGUCCCGGGGAAAGUAAGUAGGCGGAGAUCUUAGGUAAGUCCGGGGUCUCUUAACGCCGAGAUACGAGACCAUCGGCCUUGUGCCGAGAAGUAGCUGAUGCCACGCUUCCAAGAAAAGUCCCUAAGCUUCAGGCAGUUCGUGACCGUACCGUAAUCCGACACAGGUGGGUGAGGAGAGAAUCCUAAGGCGCUUGAGAGAACUCGGGUGAAGGAACUAGGCAAAUUGGUACCGUAACUUCGGGAGAAGGUACGCCCCUACCGGUUAGGAGACUUGCUCUCCAAAGCUAGUGGGGGUCGCAGAUGCCAGGUGGCGGCGACUGUUUAUCAAAAACACAGCACUCUGCAAACACGAAAGUGGAAGUAUAGGGUGUGACGCCUGCCCGGUGCCGGAAGGUUAAUUGAUGGGGUUAGCCGCAAGGCAAAGCUCUUGAUCGAAGCCCCGGUAAACGGCGGCCGUAACUAUAACGGUCCUAAGGUAGCGAAAUUCCUUGUCGGGUAAGUUCCGACCUGCACGAAUGGCGUAACGAUCGCCACGCUGUCUCCACCCGGGACUCAGUGAAGUUGAAAUCGCUGUGAAGAUGCAGUGUACCCGCGGCAAGACGGAAAGACCCCGUGCACCUUUACUACAGCUUUGCAUUGGACUCUGAACCUGUCUGUGUAGGAUAGGUGGGAGGCUAUGAAGUGGGGACGCCAGUUCUCAUGGAGCCAAUCUUGAAAUACCACCCUGAUAUGUUUGGGGUUCUAACCUGAGCCCGUAAUCCGGGCUGGGGACAAUGUAUGGUGGGUAGUUUGACUGGGGCGGUCUCCUCCUAAAGAGUAACGGAGGAGUACAAAGGUGCCCUCAGCGCGGUCGGACAUCGCGUGUUGUGUAUAAAGGCAUAAGGGCGCUUGACUGCGAGACAGACAAGUCGAGCAGGUACGAAAGUAGGUCUUAGUGAUCCGGUGGUUCUGUAUGGAAGGGCCAUCGCUCAACGGAUAAAAGGUACGCCGGGGAUAACAGGCUGAUCUCCCCCAAGAGUCCACAUCGACGGGGAGGUUUGGCACCUCGAUGUCGGCUCAUCACAUCCUGGGGCUGUAGCAGGUCCCAAGGGUAUGGCUGUUCGCCAUUUAAAGUGGUACGCGAGCUGGGUUCAGAACGUCGUGAGACAGUUCGGUCCCUAUCUGCCGUGGGCGUUAGAAACUUGAGGGUGAGUUGCUCCUAGUACGAGAGGACCGGAGUGAACGUACCUCUGGUGUUCCGGUUGUCACGCCAGUGGCAUCGCCGGGUAGCUAUGUACGGACGGGAUAACCGCUGAAUGCAUCUAAGCGGGAAGCCCCCCCCAAGAUAAGGUUUCUCUGGGGACUUGAUCCCCCUAAAGGGCCGUCGAAGACUACGACGUUGAUAGGCUGGGUGUGGAAGCGCUGUAAGGCGUGUAGCUAACCAGUACUAAUUGCCCGUGAGGCUUGACCAUAUAACACUCAAGCA